CCGAAAACUAGUCUAAGCCGUUACGUUUGGUGUUUUUUUUUUAGAAACAAGAUAUAUUUUAGUAAUAACAGAUUAUUUACGUUUCAAACAGGUAUGAUACAUUGAAACCUAACGGUCUGUAAAGUACAUUACCAGAUUUUUACAGAUUUGGGUCGAAUAGCGACACAGAUUUUUGGAGUAAGUAAGUCAUAAAACUAGUUAUCCACAAAGACACAAUAUUUUUUUUAGUGUGAAAAUAUACCAGAGGAAAAGAAUUCUAACUCAUAGGUAAAAAAUAAACUGACACCAAAGUGACAUAAAAAGACCAACAGACAAAUUAUAGUUCACAAAACCCAACAUAGGAAAACAAAGACUCGGAAACAUAAGCUCGCUGCCUAAAUUAAAAUCUGAAAGCGGGGUAAUCUCAUAUGCUUCGGAAGGGUAAGCAGAUCCUGGUCCACCAUGUGAUAUCUUGUUGCUGAUGUGGGGAAAAAACUGGUAUUAAGUCCAAGUCCGUAGGUCAGCCUUUGGGUAAAGGGACAGAAUAAAGUUAUUCUUUUUCUUUUUCAAUUCUUCUUUAUGUAAAUUACAAGUCCGUAGGUCAGCCUUUGGGUAAAGGGACAGAAUGAAAGGUAUUCUUUUUCUUUUUCAAUUCUUCUUUAUGUAAAUUAUGAUACAUGUACAUUGUUGAUAUGACAAAAUCAGAUGUGAUAUUUAACUAAAUAACAAUUCAUACAGGUCUUUUUUCUAAAUUAAGUUGACGUUAUAUAUGUUAAUUAGGAUAUAUAAAGUUAAUUACAGCAUAACUUGUAUUAUUAUUUUUAUACAUGUAGAUAUGCCUUGCUGGUACUUUGAUAAGAAAGAGAUAAGAAACACACCAACACACAGAGAUGGGAUUGAUCCAACAACAGAAGCCAGGUACAGAAGAGAAGGGGCAAGAUUUAUUAUUGAUGCAGGAACAAAGAUGGGACUG
rnacentral:lncRNA from 1 species